rnacentral:rRNA from 1 species
UACGGAGGGUGCGAGCGUUGUCCGGAAUCACUGGGCGUAAAGGGUGCGUAGGCGGCCUGAUAAGUAGGGGGUGAAAUCCUGCGGCUUAACCGCAGGGCUGCCUUCUAAACUGUCAGGCUGGAGCACAGUAGAGGCAGGUGGAAUUCCCGGUGUAGCGGUGGAAUGCGUAGAGAUCGGGAAGAACAUCAGUGGCGAAGGCGGCCUGCUGGGCUGUUGCUGACGCUGAGGCGCGACAGCGUGGGGAGCAAACAGG